UUAGCUUUAUUUUAAUACAAAUAAUUUAUCAAAAUUAAUGUAGAGUUUUAUAGGUAUUUAACUUGAAUUUUCAGUCCUUUUUUGCCUAAAUUUACACAUGUUGAAGCUCAAUUUUAAACCCACCAACCACCCAAAGGCCCAAUUUUGAGCUCACUUCUUCUUUUACAAGACUAUAAGAAAAAACCCUAGCCAUCUUCGUCUUCCUCGCCAAGACCUUUAACCUUAAGACAAGAACAACCAUGGAGGCUGCCAUAUCUUCUUCUUCUUGAACAAAGACUAGCGAGACCCUAGCGCCUAAAGAGCAUCCUUCAACGACCAACAGCUUCCACCGCCGCCCAUCUCCACAACCAUAGAAUGGUCUUCACCUCUGAACCCUUCAGCUGGAGCUUCUUCUUCACUCCUUGAACCAGACCCUCACACAAAACGAACCCCUCCCCGAGGUCGUUCUUCUUCAACAGAGGAACUUCUCAUCAUCCAUUAUCAAGGCCUAAGUAGCCAUCGCCGGAACACCUCUCCUCUUCAAAUCAACCAGCGACCAGACCCAAUCCAGCUCGCCGGAAAACACACACACAUACACCCGAAGAAGGAACGGACGAGAUUCUUUUUCUUAUUUUAAGUUCGGAUUCAAACCUUCUGAUUUUCAUGUCAAUUUCUAGCUUCUUCUUCUGAUUUCUGAUUUUAAAAAAGAAAACAUGGAACUCAAUCGAGUUUGAGUGAGCCGAUUCCUGUCAACGGUUCCGAUUUUUAAGUCCAAUUUCGGGUUUGAAUUUGGUUGUUGAGAUGGAGCUGGUUAAGUCGGUGUUCGGGUUCCGAUUCGCGUUUGUGCUAAUAUUUUUGGGGUUGAUACUCUUUUUUUUUUUGUUGAAUUUUGUUGCCCUUCAUUUGGACAAAACUGUAAGCCCGAAGUUUCUCUAAUCUGGAAGAAAUUUUUGCCAUUGAGUUGUGCGAUGGAGUUUGAUUGAGUUGGGCCGUUCCGAGCUGGUCAUAUCUGAACAUUUAUGUUGCUGCGUUUGUUUCUUUUAUGAUUUUCAGCCUUUGAGUGUGAGAGCAGAUUUAUGUGAGUAUGAUUGAACAUUCUGACCGAGUGCGAGUACGGAUGAGAUUUACAGUGCCGAUUUGAGUUUCAGUCCGCGGUUCGUUGCGUUUAUGCGUUUCAAGGCUGCCGUUCAUUUAUAUUUCAGAUUCAUUGAGGUCCAUUUCUAAACUCUGUUCUUGAUUGAUUAUAGUGCUCUUCUUCGUGCAUUUUGAUAAAAAAUAAAUCCCACUUGAUAUUUGAUUAUCUGGUUGUGUGUAUAUGGUAUAUUUUGUCUUGCAUUAGUAUGUUAAAUGUUUGUUGAUGUUUGAUUUCUUAAACAAGCAAAAGCGUCUUAGUAGAUUAAUGAUAUAUUGAAUUAAAUUUUAAUGAAAGUGGACAGUUAGGAAGUUAAAAGAAAGAUUUCAGUUGGGAAUUUGUCCAUUUGCUCGUUUUGAAUACCAUUUACCUCAUCGUACAAGUCGUGGUGGGAUUGAAUAUUGAAAAAUGGAAAGAAACUCAUAUCUUAUCUUGUUUAUUGCUUUAAUCGUUAGGAGCAUGUUGAGGUUCGCUAGCACUUGGGUAGGCAAGCUUUUGGACUUCUAUUAAUUUUGAGGCGAAAGAUCGUUCCCGUAGUUAAAUUCAUCCAGGGAAUGCCCCGAAGUAUUUGUAUAUAUUGUAAACAGGGGAAUGCCCCGAAGUAAAUGUAAAUGGAGGCCGUGGAAACAUCAAUGGGCAUAGUAUAGGCUAGCAAGCUUAUUUUAUUUUGCUUUACUUUUCUUUUAUUAGGUGGAGAUGACCUCGAGCCUUAUGUGUGUUUACUUUGUCUUUUUUUGUGAUUUUACCUCUAUUUUGAGUGUUUUAAAAGUCAACUAGAUCGAGUACGCAACGAUGAUUUUCACGGGACUUGGGGAGUGCCUAACACCUUCUCCCCGAGUCAAAUGAACCCCUUACCUGAAUCUUUGGUGCGGACUUAGUUUUGAGUCCAAGUGCUUUAAAAGGAAAAAUAAUUUCUAAAAACGGUGGCCUGGCACACCUUAAUCAAAUGCCAGGUGGCGACUCUGAGUUUAUUUACUUUCGAAAUAAAUUUUUGUCACUUUCCAAAUAGAAAGCCCUUUUCAAGCUUUUACUUAAAUCUUUUUAUUAAUUUAAGAGGGUUUAGUGAAAGUUUGAAUUUUUUAAAAAUGGGUGUGACAUCUCUGGCGACUCUGCUGGGGAGACUCGCGGGUUCGAGCUAGUACUCGAUUUUGUCUGCUUUAGAAUAUUUGGUUGAGUUUUUUUAUGUUUAUUUAUUUAGCUUUGCUCAAUUUUUAUUAUGUUUCGUAUUUUGUUACUUGCUAGUUGUUUAUGUGUUUACAAUUUUACUUUAUGUGUUUACUGCUUUAUAACUGUCAUCAUAUAUAUUACUCGGUCAAUUCUUUCUGCAACAAGUCUCGGAGCACGCACCGCCUGCACGAACUCUUCGUUGAGUCACCCUUAAUUUAGGACGGUGGCCGUCAGACGUAUGGAGUGGCUGUAAAGCUCGAGCAGCCACUAUCGACCAUACGCUCCCCCGAAUUGCCUUGUUAGUGAACCCCAAACUUAGGUCAGCCUUAGGUUAUUUUUAUUUGCAUCAUGUAAUUUACACCUAGUAGGGCUCGGUCCUAGGUACCGUGUCCAUUUGUAGGGAGCCUGUCCAAAUAUUGUCAAAAUGGGCCCAUGGCCCAAAAUGACAUUUAAUCAUCCUAUGUGCUAAAUGUUGCAUCUUUGAGGGUAAAACGGUUAUUUGGCGUACCAAUGUUUGGAAAGAAGGAUAAAAAUGAAGAAACUAGGGCCUACCCGCAUUUCUCUUUCAUUGUUUUCCAAAAAUAAAAAAAAAUAAAAAUAAGAAAAUCUAAAAGAUUUUACAUUCUUUCAUUAUUUUUCAAAAAUUCAAAAAAAGUAGAAAGUGAAAACCGAAAAAAGAUUUUAUACUUUUCCAUUAUUUCCCAAAAACUCAAAAAAAAAGUAGAAAAUGAAAAAAAAUCCAAAAAGAUUUUGCACUUUCCAUAAUUUUUUUUAAAAAGACCAAAAAAUAGUUUUUAUUCUAAAUUGGACGCAUUUUUAAUGAAAAAUCUAUCCUAUAUUUAAUCUUCUCAAACUAAGCGAACCUGAUUCUCGUCUUUCGGGGCGAGAUACUUAGGCAACCCACAUAGGGUCCGGUCUUCCUAAUGUCUUAGGUUCUUGGCUUUGCGGGGUCUUAGCCAAAUCUUGCAUGUCUAGCCACUUUUGGCACAUCGGCUAUUCUUGAAAAAUGGGGUCAUUUUUGCAAAAAGUGGUUUAGUUACCCAUGUCUUAGAAUGUUGAGUCCGCAACUAGGUGUCAUAUUACUUUAAGGUCCGACCUUUUGAGUUUGCAUCUUUAGCAACUUUCGGCCACAUAGGCUAUUUUUGCAAAACGAGUUAUUUCUGCAAAUUAAUUUUGGGCCAUGAUUAUUGUGUAUUUGAAUCGGUAUAAGCCUUAGUGUGGUAUUAUCAUGUUUUUGAGGUCACAUUUGUUGAGUUUGCUCUAAUAGCCAUCCUUAGCCACAUAUGUUAAUUUUGCAAAAGUAGCCCAGUGACGUCUUGCAUGUGUCUAAUAAAAGGUGUCGUGACGUCACAUGUGUCUUGAGUUGCUAACUCUUUUUAAUCUCAUUUUUCUCAUUCAGGUACGGAGAAAUUUGCUAGAGUUUAAGCAUGAAAACCACGGACCAUUGCAUUUAGGAGAUGAUUAUAGAUAUUUUUAUAUUUUGAGUCUGUCAUUCAUGUUGUCUUUUAAUUAUUAGUCUUGUGCAGUAGUAUGAGUCUUUUGUUAUAGUACUUCCCAUUUUGUAUUUAUAAAACCAAAAAAAUUUAUUAUAAAUGAAAAAUCCAAAAAGAUUUUUAUUUUUAGUUUAA
rnacentral:lncRNA from 1 species